GGAAUAUUGAAACAACAUUAUUAAUUGUGGUAAACCUUAUCUGGCAGUACUUAAGAGUGCAUCUUUGACUUUAUUACUCGAGUGAAUGCACCUUCAAACCGGUUUAACACCAACAUGUCACAGUAAUCAAUACCAUCUGUGUUAAGAUGUCGGGAAUGUGUUAGACGAAUGAUUUUGUUUUAUGGAGCUUUGAAGAGCGAUGAAUGGCACUAAAGUGGUGCCAAAUGGAUAUCUCAAACACCCAUUGUUGAUGUGUGAUGCUGAUAAUACAGAGACAGCUAGAGUGACAGAGUUUGAUGAAUAAACUUAAAUUAAAAAACAGAAAUAACCACCAUCUCUCUCAGAGGUCAUCUUUCUCAUUAUUGUGGGGAAACCUCAAAGGGCAUCAGGAAAACCUUCAUCAACCUCUUUGUGCCCAGUGGCUUGUGCAACAGUGUUUCAGAAAUUAUCAUUAAAAUGGGGAUAAUGGAUGACUGGCCACACAUAUGGGGCUAUGGACAAGCUUCAGAGCAGGCUGCCAGGUGGUGGUGUUAGUAGUUUAUACUCCGGGUCCCGGCGUGAGC